AUAUAACCCAAGGUAAAGAGAAGCUGACAGGUAAACAGAGAAGCUGAGUCCCAGUACGUUAGAGUUCUGACUGGCACCAUCAGGACCCUGGGAAGCAAGAGAGUCACUCUAUUAAGGAUCAUUCCAGUAUAUCCAUAUGUCAGAUUUCUGACAGAAGUGACAAGUCUGGGAGCAGAAGAAACAACUGGCAUAAAUCUCAGGUCUCUUUGGUUGAGCCCUGUCAGAGGAAAUCAGCCUUUGACUGGCAAAUGCCUGUGAUGCUGCUCACAUUCUGUGGAUGGUUGAGGAGCGACUCAGUAGGAUCUGGACACAGCACAGGCAGGCUGAGGUGUUCUACUUUUCCAAAGUGAAAGGCAUUGGGUACAGAGUUUCAUUUUCCUUCUCAACUACUAACUGUGUGAC
rnacentral:lncRNA from 1 species